CAGGAAGUAGUUUAAUUGAGAAUUCUAGCUUUGGGAGCUAGCGGUGGGAGUUAAAAUCUCCUCUUCCUGA
rnacentral:tRNA from 1 species